rnacentral:rRNA from 1 species
UACGGAGGGGGCUAGCGUUGUUCGGAAUUACUGGGCGUAAAGCGUGCGCAGGCGGUCUUUUAAGUCAGAUGUGAAAUCCCCGGGCUUAACCUGGGAACUGCGUUUGAAACUGGAAGGCUAGAGUGUGGCAGAGGGGGGUGGAAUUCCACGUGUAGCAGUGAAAUGCGUAGAUAUGUGGAGGAACACCGAUGGCGAAGGCAGCCCCCUGGGCUAACACUGACGCUCAUGCACGAAAGCGUGGGGAGCAAACAGG